CAAACAGCUCCCGAGUCUGAUCGACUGUGUACUGAUCAGCAUUCAGAAGGAACCUCGAGAAUUUUUUGACACAUAUUUUCAUCAGAAGAGCCUACAAGUUAUCAGCACAUUGAGCUCUCUACAACCAUGUCUCAGUACAAAGGUCAAAACUAAUGUGCUCAGCACCUGCUUUGAAAGCCUGUUCAUGCUUCCAGCCACAGGGAUGUUAGCAAACAGUCUUCCUCAUCAGGAGACUCCACCUGAAGUCGAGAACCUGUAUGACAAGACUUUGGAGAACCUUGAUCAGCUUCUCCAGUGUUUCCUCUCUGAGCAUCAAACAAUGGAAGAACUCCAAUUUCUCCUGCAGCACUUUGAGCCCUGGCUCAUGGCCAAUGAGCCUCAUGCACGGCUCCGGGCCCUGAAGACUGCCUUGAUGCUCCUCCAGUACUCCCAGGAAAACCUGAAUCUGAUUGUGAGUUAAGAAUCAACCCCUCAUCUUCCCCCAUGCUUCACUUU
rnacentral:lncRNA from 1 species